AUAUACCAACAUCUUGGAUAACCUUGUGUUUUAAAUCUUGAGAGCAGCCCUGCCAGGAGCGAGCAUUACUCCAUCGUCAUGCACUCGGCUGUAAUUGCCCAUCUGACGGCGAGCUCGGAGAUUAACAUCGCAGCUCUUGAGCCAUGGACUACAUAUGCCAGACCGCUGCGUGUUGUGUCAAGCCACUUAGGCAUGUACCGUCAGUGUGCCUAGUGUUACUAAACGCUCUUAUUUUUAGGUCACACAGAUGCAGAUCGUCCUGAAUAUUUCUCUGGACAAACUGCUAAUCGCUACCUUGUUCAAAAUCUGUUGGACAUUUCCUAUGUGCUGCAUCCAAGGGUGAUUUUUUUUUUUUUAAUUUUAAAAAAAGCAAUACAAGCAAUAAUAAGAAGCUCACUUAUGAGGCCUGCAUAAAAUGGUGUAUAAAACAACCAAGUACUGUAAAUUAAACAUGAUACUCAUUACAUAAAUACAAUUAUAUUUAUCAGCCUUUUAUAGCCACACAAAGCAUUUACCAGUUAGAGUUAUUUUGUAGUAGAUAAUUCCCAAUUAACUUUUACUACUUUAUUUUUGCUAAUUUAGUUAGAUUUAAUUUUUCAAAUAAAAAAAUAAUAAAAAAAACUGUAUCAAAUGGCAUCUCUAACUAUUACACUGGAGAUGAGAUAUAAUUAAAAUGUUAUGUAUGUGGAAUUGCAACUGAUGGGAA